ensembl:lncRNA
AUGCCCCGCACAGGAAGUUUUCAGAGAAGCUUUUGCACCCAAUGCUCAAUGCUGGCAGAGGCUCUACGGUUGUUUAAAAUAGGGGGGGGGGGUUUCCCUACCUGGAGAUGCCAGGAAUUGAACUUGCAGUGCGAAAGAGCUGCCCCUGGUUUUGCAUGGGGGGGGGGGCUUGUCUUGGGCUGGUGCAAGUUUGGGAGCUCACCUUUCCACAGGAGGGAUCAGAUCCUCAGCUGCCUGCCUUGGGAAAGAUGGAUUUGGAAAAGUCACAGCAUGAAAAAGAGCCUGCAUGCAAUUUUAUGGUUGGAAGUCCCUUGCUCUGUGGGGGAAAGAGAGAGACUUAGGAAAACAUCUAACAGCCCAAAUCGAGAGUUGGUUUUGUCUGAUAAGCACUUCAUGAAUACGAAUGCAAUAAUUCACAGGCAAGAGGUGAACUUGUGAGGCUCCCGUGUCUUUAACAGCAACUUGACAGGGAGACAAGAGAAACGUUUCCUGGAGUGAUGGACAAAAGCAGAAACAGUAAAAUAAAAAAAAAUAAUGUUAACAACCCUAGGCAUGUACACACCCCUUAGAAACCUAGGAAGCUGACUUAUAUUGAGUUGGACCCAGUGCUUUUUUCUGGGGGCUGGAACGCAGGGGGACGCAUACCCCUUAACAUUUUGUGAUCUAACGCGAGAAGAAACUAAAAUUCUUUUUAAAAAUUAGUUUCUUCUCUAACACGGUGAAUCAUCAGUUCCGUUGAACAGCACGGUGUAUCAUGAGUUCUGUUGCUACCCCCCAAUGGCAGCCUCAUUUCCUAUCAUGGUGUUUCCUGAGGCCCAGACAGAAUGAGAGUACCCCUAAACUUUUUCUUUUAGAAAAAAAAAAGGACUGCUUGGGUCAAUAGUUAAUUUAGCUCAGUAUUGUCUACAAUGCUUGGCAGCAAGCAGCUCAGGGCUUCAGGCAAUGAAUGUGUGGCAUUAGUGGACAGUGGGGUGGGGCAGUGGUGACUUCCAGUGGCCAGUCUUGUCCACCCCCCAACCCUCCCAGUAGGUAGGAACAUCAUGAUCAACCACAGGUCAAGGGAAUGCCACACAACACGGCCCACUACAGUCUCCCUGCCUUGCCAAGAGAUGCUGUGGAUUGAACCUAGGACCUUCUGUAAAUGCUCUACUACAGUGGUACCUCGGGUUACAGACGCUUCAGGUUACAGACUCCGCUAACCCAGAAAUAGUACCUCGGGUUAAGAAUUUGCUUCAGGGUGAGAACAGAAAUCGCAUGGCAGCGGGAAGUCCCAUUAGCGAAAGUGGUGCUUCAGGUUAAGAACAGUUUCAAGUUAAAAACAGACCUCCAGAACGAGGUACAACUGUACUGAGCUAUGGCCCUUCACAAAAUGCUUGCUUCCACACACACACACACAGUCAUACACAGAAUAUGGCACUCUCUUUCUGUUCAUUUGUAAGGAAUAAUAAAUGCCAACUCCUGGCUCUCUACUUCUAGUCACUGCUGCAAAUUAAUAUCUCUGCCUCUGUUAUAAACCAACAUGAAAAUAUAUUUCCUUUCUACCUGAAAGAACACUCUCUGCUACUUCUUUUACUAGAGCUGUUUUUGAAUAAGUGGUUUCGACACUGUGGUCUUUCAGUGAUAUCCACAAAACCAUUAAGGCUAAUUUGUAGCAUUCAGGCUUAAGCUAGCUGUGACCCCACUGGUUUAAUUACAAGUACACCCACUAAAUAGGUUGUGAGUCACAGGCUGAAAUGUAAGAGUUCAGAGGUAUGCAUCUGUUAAAGGGGGAAAAAAAACCACCCUUGUUUGCCAGCCAAGACUCAGGCUGAUCUAUGAAGUCAGCCAUUCAAAUGUGCUAACUAGCCUUUCCAACAUGGCAAUGAUAAAAAGGUAAAGGUACCCCUGCCCGUACGGGCCAGUCUUGACAGACUCUAGGGUUGUGCGCCCAUCUCACUCAAGAGGCCGGGGGCCAGCGCUAUCCGGAGACACUUCCGGGUCAUGUGGUCAGCGUGAUAUCGCUGCUCUGGCGAGCCAGAGCCGCACACGGAAUGCCGUUUACCUUCCCGCUAGUAAGCGGUCCCUAUUUAUCUACUUGCACCCGGGGGUGCUUUCGAACUGCUAGGUUGGCAGGCGCUGGGACCGAACAACGGGAGCGCACCCCGCCACGGGGAUUCGAACCGCCGACCUUUCGAUCGGCAAGCCCUAGGCGCUGAGGCUUUUACCCACAGCGCCACCCGUGUUUAUGGCAAUGAUAGUAACCCCAAUAUUCUUGAAGGCAUCAAAAUAGAUAACUGCUGCACAGGUAAUUUAGCAAUAAUCAUGGUAUAGUCACUAUCGUGCAUCUUAAGUACACCACAUGGAUUAUAUCUCAGGGAUUUUUAUGACAUCCCUGGAAGAUAGGACAGUGUUGUUGUUGUUGUUGUUGUUGUUGUUAUUAAGCAUUACUGCUACUUCUGAGGUGGAGUGUAGUUUUAAUAAACUUUUAUGAAACCUUUUAGAAACUUCAGUUUCUGUUGUCUACCUGAUGUGGCAUAUAGCUUUAUAUUGCACUUUACCUUUUGGUAUUAUUUGC